UACGGGGGGAGCAAGCGUUGUUCGGAUUUACUGGGCGUAAAGGGCGCGUAGGCGGUCAGUGCAAGUCAGUUGUGAAAUCUCCGAGCUUAACUCGGAACGGUCAACUGAUACUGCUCGACUAGAGUGCGGAAGGGGCAACUGGAAUUCUUGGUGUAGCGGUGAAAUGCGUAGAUAUCAAGAGGAACACCUGCGGCGAAGGCGGGUUGCUGGGCCGACACUGACGCUGGAGGCGCGAAAGCUAGGGGAGCGAACGGG
rnacentral:rRNA from 1 species